rnacentral:lncRNA from 10 species
UUUCACAUGGAUCUCAUAUAGAAAAUGCACAAGUGUUUAAGAACAGAAUAUAAUGAUGAAGGAAUAUCAAUAAGUAUAUUUUUUGCAUUGGUUAUAUUAGUCAAACAUGGCAUUACAAAAGGAGUGUCUAAUCUUCCCCAGAUGUCAUUAUAAGACAUUUACCUCCACCUUGGAAGAAUACAAAGGACUCCACUUAAAAGGCAAAUCAAGCCAAACCUUAUAAAGACAAGCCACAGACUUCAGGUUACAUGUUUUGAGUUCUGCACAAAAUAUUUGAAUGGGUGCUUCAUAAAAGAUGAUAUAUGAGGACUUGGGGCAGAACAAGAUGGCAGAAUAGAAGGCUCCGCCAAUUGUCCCUGCUUCAAGGACACCAAUUUAACAACUA